UUCGCAAUGCCCGAAAGGGUGACGAAGCGACGCCGCGUGUGGGAAGAAGGUCUUCGGGUUGUAAACCACUGUCGGGAGUUAAGAAAUACAAGGAUAUUAAUAGUGUCUUUGUUUGACUAAGGCUCCGGAGGAAGCCACGGCUAACUCUGUGCCAGCAGCCGCGGUAAUACAGAGGCGGCAAGCGUUGUUCGGAAUUAUUGGGCGUAAAGAGCACGUAGGCGGCUAUGUAAGUCGGUUGUGAAAGCCUUCCGCUCAACGGAAGAACAGCAUCCGAUACUACAUGGCUUGAGUGCGGGAGGGGAGAGUGGAACUUCUGGUGGAGCGGUGAAAUGCGUAGAUAUCAGAAGGAACGCCGGCGGCGAAAGCGGCUCUCUGGCCCAUAACUGACGCUGAGUGUGCGAAAGCUAGGGGAGCAAACGGGAUUAGAUACCCCGGUAGUCCUAGCCGUAAACGAUGGGCACUAAGUAGAGGGGUUUU
rnacentral:rRNA from 1 species